rnacentral:miRNA from 10 species
AUUAGGUUGGUGCAAAAGUAAUUGCGGUUUUUGCCAUUAUAGUAAAUGUAAAAGCCACAAUUACUUUUGCACCAGCCUAAUA